rnacentral:piRNA from 1 species
AAAUGGGUGAGAACUCCGGCUUAC